ACUCAUUACUCCAACAUAAGUUUCCGCUUCCCAUGGUAAACAAAAACGGCACAAAGCGAGCGACAACACAACACAACACAAGUUCCCGCGUAGUGAGAAGAGAAGGACGAUGACAGAGAACAACGAGAAUGCUGAAAUCCAAAUCCGUGCCCUAACCGGCGAAUCCAUCAUUCUUCCCAUCACUCCCACCACAACCGUCCAACACCUCAAGCUUCUCCUCAACCGCUCUUUCCCUCCGGCCACCACCUCCCCCAAUUUCCACCUCUUUUUCAAGGGAGACAAAUUGCGAUUGCAGACUCAAAUCGGCUCUUUCCCCAUCCAACACGGCGAGUUUCUUGUCCUCGUUCCCUUUGCCAAGAAGGAAAAGGAACCUUCUCGAACCCACGAAUCGGACACGGUUUCGAAUGUUCCAACCUCUACUACUCUCGCGGACUCCACGUGGUCCACCAUAAAGGAGGAUUUGUCACUUUUACACGACGACGACACCACUGAGAACUGCGACAAUGCCUCUAAUUCCGAGUCAAAAAAAGAGGAAAUGUUGCAGACACAAUCCAUAGCGGGUUUGGGUUCUGAGAAGCAGAUAGAGCUUCCAUAUCAUCUCAUAUUAGACACAUUGCAAGAUAGUAGUGAGGGAGUUCUUGGAGAGCAUAAUUGCGAGGUUUUCGUGAAGGUUUUGGAGUCUGUGAAUUGCUUAUCGGACCUGCCUCUCGGACACUGCAAGUUGUUGAAACAAGCUUGUGAAAAAAGAGGUGGUGGUGGUGGCUUGAGAAAACGUGUCAGUGAUGCUGCUAUGUGUAUUUGUUCACCGUGGUUGAAGAUAGUCGUGAAGGCGUUUGCAUUUGUGAACAUUUUUUCCACGUUUCUUUAUUUGCAGCGUAGGGAAUUGACCUUAGUUCUGCUGGAAGAGGCGCUUAGCGAGCUUGCGAAGUUUGGGGUUAAACUUGGCCUUGAUGACAUAAAGCUUCUUUCGCUACUUUGUCCUCAUCUGGUAUGUUUUGGAGAUGAAGUAGAAAAGACAAAUUUUGGUGAUGUCAUUGUUGUUAACAAUGCAACUGGCAAUGAUGAUCAAGUUGAAGACAAUCCUAAAAGAGUGCGCAAGUGGUUGUAUGUUUCAAAGAUUGUCAGUACAUUGAAGAGAAGGGAUAGCUCUUUCAGAAAAAGUUUAGGAUGGGCUUUUGAGCAGCUUCCGUUUGAAUUUGGAGAUGAGAUGACUGUGGGAAUUUCCUUGGAAGAGCUGCUUGCAGCUGUCAAGGACCAUGAUUUUGUAGGAAAAGAAGACAAAUUAAAACGUGUAAAGAGAAGCAAAACUACCUCAAAACCUGGCUUAAACAAUAUUGGGUGUCAUGAUACAAAGACAUUACUGGCUGUGGACAUGGUUGAUCAUCUUAAGAAAGGAAUUGGAUCUGAAGGACAGAUUGUGCAUAUUGAAGACAUAUGUGCCAGAAAAGCGAUUUACAGUGAGAUCCCAAUUGAACUAUCAGAGAAAAUGAGAUCUGUGCUGAAGUGUAUUGGAGUUUCCAAAUUUUACAGUCACCAGGCAGAGUCUAUACAAGCUUCCCUUCAUGGCAACAAUGUUGCUGUGGCUACAAUGACAUCUAGUGGCAAAUCCCUUUGCUAUAACCUACCAGUUCUAGAAGUGUUGUCCAAUAAUUCUUCUUCAUCUGCUCUGUACAUAUUUCCCACAAAGGCAUUGGCUCAAGAUCAACUAAGAGCUUUGUUACACAUGACAAAAGGAUUAGAUAUUGACUUAAAUAUUGGAAUAUAUGAUGGGGACACUUCUCACAAUGAGAGGAUGUGGCUACGUGAUAAUUCUAGAUUGUUGAUCACAAAUCCAGAUAUGUUACACAUAUCAAUCUUGCCCCACCAUCAACAAUUUUGUCGGAUUUUAUCAAACCUAAGGUUUGUGGUAAUUGAUGAAACUCAUACUUACAAGGGAGCAUUUGGAUGUCACACUGCACUUAUAUUGAGGAGGUUAAAACGACUCUGUUCACAUGUAUAUGGAUCUGUUCCUUCUUUUGUUUUUUCUACUGCAACUUCUGCAAAUCCUCGGCAGCAUUCUAUGGAACUUGCAAAUUUAUCUACUCUGGAGCUAUUUCAGAAUGAUGGAAGUCCAUCUACAAGGAAACUUUUUGUCCUUUGGAAUCCUGCUUUGCGUCCAAAAGCUAUCAUUAAAAAGACUCAGUUUUCUAAGAGUACUGAUGAGCUGGCAGAUGAAAGUGCAAAUUUUGUUCGCUCAAGCCCGAUUGUGGAUGUUUCACGCCUUUUUGCAGAAAUGGUUCAGCAUGGUCUUCGCUGUAUUGCAUUUUGUAAAUCACGGAAACUUUGUGAGCUUGUUUUAUCCUAUGCACGUGAGAUUCUUCAUGAGACAGCCCCGCAUCUGGUGGAUUCCAUAUGUGCAUAUCGUGGUGGCUACAUUGCAGAGGAAAGAAGAAAAAUAGAGAGUUCAUUUUUUGGUGGUAAAAUAUGUGGUGUUGCUGCAACUAAUGCUCUUGAGUUGGGCAUUGAUGUUGGAGAAAUUGAUGCCACUCUGCAUCUAGGAUUUCCUGGUAAUAUUGCAAGCUUGUGGCAACAAGCUGGUAGAGGUGGGAGGAGAGAUAGACCAUCUCUUGCUGUCUACGUUGCAUUUGGUGGGCCUCUUGAUCAAUACUUCAUGAAACAUCCCAAGAAACUCUUUGAAAGACCAAUUGAAUGUUGCCAUGUUGAUUCCCAAAACAAGCAGGUUCUUGAACAACAUUUGGUCUGUGCAGCUCAUGAACACCCGUUGAGUGUGAACUAUGAUGAGCAAUAUUUUGGUCCUUGCUUGGAGAGUGUCAUAAUUUCUCUAAAAGCUAGAGGAUACUUGAGUUCUGUUCUAUCAUCUGAUUCUUCUAGAAUAUGGAACUACAUUGGUCCAGAGAAAUUACCCUCACACGCAGUCAAUAUCCGAGCAAUUGAAACUUUAAGAUACAGUGUCAUAGAUCAGAAAAAAAAUGAAGUUCUUGAAGAGAUAGAGGAAAGCAAGGCAUUCUUUCAGGUAUAUGAAGGUGCUGUGUAUAUGUACCAGGGGAAAACCUAUUUGGUUGAAAAAAUAGAUCUAUCUAACAAAACUGCUUUCUGCAAAGAGGCUGAUCUAAAGUAUUAUACAAAGACUCGAGAUUACACUGAUAUUCAUGUCAUUGGGGGUAAUAUUGCUUAUCCAGUCAAGGUCGAAACCAACAUGUUUCCAAAAACAAAUGCCCGGGUUGAUGUAUGCAAAGUAACAACUACUUGGUUUGGCUUUUAUCGUAUUUGGAGAGGAAGCAAUCAAAUCUUUGAUGCCGUUGAUCUCGCACUUCCUCAAUACUCAUAUGAGUCACAGGCAGUUUGGGUUCCUGUGCCACAGUCAAUAAAAGAAGCAGUAAGCAAGCAAAAUUAUGAUUUCCGUGGAGGUCUGCAUGCUGCUUCACAUGCAAUUUUACAUGUAGUGCCUUUACAUAUCACGUGCAACUUGUCUGACUUGGCUCCUGAGUGUCCAAACCCUCAUGAUAGCCGAUAUUACCCUGAAAGAAUUCUAAUAUAUGAUCAACAUCAUGGAGGGUGUGGAAUUUCAGUACAGGUUCAACCCUAUUUCACAAAGUUCCUGGCAGCUGCACUAGAGCUUCUCACAUGUUGCUGCUGCUCAGCGGAAGUAGGUUGCCCUAAUUGCGUUCAGAGCUUUGCUUGCCAUGAGUAUAACGAGGUUUUACACAAGGAUGCAGCCAUCAUGAUCAUCAAGGGUAUUCUGGAUGCAGGGAACUAGUAAUUCAAAGAAUGUGCUUUGGUUAUUCUUAAGGCAAGUUAGGGAAAAAGCUCUUAUGAAGUUUUCCUCCAAACAGUGAAUAAGGCAUCAUGUGGAAGGUAUGCGCUGAAUCUAGAAUCCAGUCAUCAUCAUUGACAUUAGACUAAACAAAGAGAACAUUUCCAACAUCAGAUUCUUUUAAAGCCACUACUGCUCCACCAUACAAUGAAGAAUUUGCUUUGUCUUCUUGAGCUCCAGGUAGUUUCUCUAUUAGUGCCUUUCUCUCUUGCAAUUAUGGCAUUUGUUAUUGUUCUUAUGUUUGUUGCGCGAUUUAGACACCUUUUUUGGAAAGUUUUCUUCCCUUUUCUCAAUUCUUCCUCUUACCAUUAAACCCUCACCUAAGCUAGUACCACCACCAUAUAAAUUGGUAAUUGGCCUUUUCAGAACAAGUUGGUCCUCAUCAUCCACCGCAACAUCAAUAGUUCUCAAACUAAGAACAAUACGAUUGAAAUUAUCUAUAUGUUUAUGAAUUGAUUCACCUUCAUGCAUUUGCAUGGUAUAUAAUUUUUUCAACAAACAGAGAUAGUUAUGGAGAGACUUUGUCAUGCAUCAACUUUCAAGGUUUGCCCAAAGCUUGUUGACAAUAUUUUCUCUAGAGGCUUCUUCUAAAACUUUAUCACCAAGCGAUAACAAUAUUAUAAUAUGCAUCUUUUUCACUAUCACCUUGAUUGCAGAUGUUAGACAAUGCCAACUCACAUUUUUGUUGCAUGAGAAGAGCGAGCAACUUCACUCACCACAUGUUGAAGUUAUUUUUCCCUAUAAAUUUCUUAACGUCAAACUUCAUAGGUGUAUAUCUCUAAUACCAGUUUUUAUGAUAAAUUGCCUUUGAUGUAGAAAUUUAAAUAUACUAAAUAACUAGAAUACAUAAGAAUCUCUUAUUUAUGAAAAAAGAAUUACAAAGUGGAAU